UGUGAACAUUUGUCUCAGGUCACGCCACACCCAUGGACACUGGCUACCUUUUCGGCAGUAGUAGUCUGGUGGAUGGCCAGCAGUGAAAGCAGGACGAGAACUUUGCUGCAGGUACGGACAGGCCUUGGGGGCUUCAUCGUGGCUCCAGUGUCUGCCAGGAGGCUUCUGAACUCGACAGCAAGUGGGGAAUGGAUUAGUAACUUGUUUGCUGCCCCACCCACAUGGGGGCAGGUUCUGGGAA
rnacentral:lncRNA from 1 species